CCGGCCCUCCCUCCCGCCGGGCACAGCCCGCUCCCGCGCGCCGUAUUACCGGGCAGGAACCGCCCCCCAGCACUACGGCGGCGGGAACACCCCUCAGGGCCUGGGGAGGGCCUGGCGGGGUUCCGCCGGGCCAAGGCGGGCAGACAGCGCGCAGGGCGAAGCGCACCGCGGCUGCAGGAGCCCGGCACUCCCUGAGAGGACCCGCCGCGCCGCCGCCUCCACCCCUCUGCCGCCUGAAGGGAGGCGGCCGCCCCGCCCCGCCGCUGACGGCGGCCGGCAGGGGCCAAGCUGCCGCGCGGGGCGGCCGUUUCCCGGUGCUCGUCCCGCCGCCGCCCGGCCAUGGAGCUGUGGCAGGUGCCGGUGCUCUUCUCGCGCCUGCCCAUGUUCCCCUUCUUCGACCUGGCGCACUAUGUGGCCUCCGUCAUGGCGCUGAAGGAGCAGCGGGGUGCGCCCACCUUGCAAAGUGUUGGAGAGUUGUUGGGGUUUUCCCUCCCCCGCUACUUUUGGAUUGUGUUUGUUUUUGAUGACGGCGAGCGGCCCGACCUCCCUUCCUGCGUCUUCUCCCACAGAAUCUCAGGCGGCUCCUGCGCCGUUGGGCCCGGCAGGAGGUUUGGCAGGGCCGCCCCAGGCCCGGGAUGCAAAAGUUGGAGGUUUUUGCCCUGAAGUGUGGCCCGGGUGCUGCCGGGGGGGCUCCGCUGGCGGUGCCGUGCCUCUCCCCCUCGGGCCCUGCCGCCCCCUCGCCUCGCAUCAAAAUCCACACGUUCUUUCCCAGCACUUCUGCAAGUGUGCAAAUGAGAUCAUCUGCCGUCUUCAGCAGGCUGCCUGGCAGUAGAUAACUGGCUGAUAGGCUGCAGAAACCGCACGGGAAGCGCCCAGCUGAACUUUUAUUGCUUUCUCAGAACUAGAGGCACUGGUGAAAUGGGCUAGGAGUUCUGUUGAAAACUGUUUCGCAGUUCAAAAUUUAAAAAGCCCCAACAACAAAAGGGCUGAGCCCCUUGACCUUAGGCUUAUGGUUGGACUAGAUGACUUUUAAAGGUCCCUCACAAUCCAAACCGUUCCAUAAUUCUGUGCAGAGGAAGGGUGCAGAUCGCAGUCCGAGGACUUGCUCUGGUAUUACAUCUGAGAGGGGAGAGGAGGGCUGCUCAACUGAUGACUUUAUAUCCUUCACACGCCCUGGUUGUGCAGGAAGCUGUUGAGGCAGUUCUGUCUGGUAAUAAACAUAGCUUGGGAAUCUAAUGGGCA
rnacentral:lncRNA from 1 species